UGCCACUCCGCUUGUACCUAUAGGCAGAAAUAAAUUACAAGUACAUCACACCCAGAGACGUUACAUGCGGCUCCGCAAACUUGAAUCUUGCUUUUCUGGCCUAUCUCUGCCAUGAAAGCAAUGGUUUGACAGCCGACAACAGCCUCACUUACGCAGAAUUAAUUCAGGGUCAUGAGCAAGACUCGAGAGACGAGCGGGUUUUUCGUGUGUGGAUCAAUAGCCUUGGUACAACAAGUAUGACAAACUUUGCUAUGAACUAAUGUUUACCAAGACACAAGUGGAACUGGAACUUACAGGACAAGAGCUUAUCAUUCUUCUCUGGACUGCAGAACCACGCGUUCUAAAUUGGCGGCUCGUGACCAAACACUGGAUCGAUAAUAUCCUAUGAAUUCCAGAUGACGAGCAAAACGCGGUUAGUGCGGCCAGGAAGCUCGGCUGCAGCGUGAUCUUGCUGUGGGAUGACAUUGGCGAGGUACUUGUUUUUCCAACUUUGUUAAUUUGCUUUCGCAGGUGAGACCCAAGGCGGUGAUGAUCUUGGUAGCCACCGUGAUGCUCUGGAAUCUGGCCGAAAAGGCUAGAAAGGCUUCUAACACUGCUGCUGUCCACAACGAGUCUUCUUACAGCCACAGGGACGCGUGACAUGACGCGCCCAUAACGUCGAUUGCGUGAACGAUCGGGCUAAUUUCUGGAUACGCUGCCAGAGACAAUCUGUCCUGCUAAACUCCCAUUCAAGACACUGAAAGGCACAUGUAUUAGUACACGG